CCAACGGCCCUCUUUAGGGCCACAUUUAUGUGAAUACGGCAUGUC
rfam:Heterorhabditis bacteriophora unplaced genomic scaffold Scaffold1107, whole genome shotgun sequence.